rnacentral:rRNA from 1 species
UGGGGAAUUUUGGACAAUGGGGGAAACCCUGAUCCAGCCAUCCCGCGUGUGCGAUGAAGGCCUUCGGGUUGUAAAGCACUUUUGGCAGGAAAGAAACGUCAUGGGUUAAUACCCCGUGAAACUGACGGUACCUGCAGAAUAAGCACCGGCUAACUACGUGCCAGCAGCCGCGUUAAUACGAAGGGUGCAAGCGUUAAUCGGAAUUACUGGGCGUAAAGCGUGCGCAGGCGGUUCGGAAAGAAAGAUGUGAAACCCCAGAGCUCAACUUUGGAACUGCAUUUUUAACUACCGGGCUAGAGUGUGUCAGAGGGAGGUGGAAUUCCGCGUGUAGCAGUGAAAUGCGUAGAUAUGCGGAGGAACACCGAUGGCGAAGGCAGCCUCCUGGGAUAACACUGACGCUCAUGCACGAAAGCGUGGGGAGCAAACAGG